CCAUUUGAAAAUAGCCGCGUAAGGCUAGUGAUUAGAAACGCCAGCUCUAAAGCACAGGGAAGAAGAGGAGGAUUGUAAUCUGGAGAGGGUCAAGCUCUUCUAGGCAAGGCCAACCAGCUAUUGUGAUUAAAGUUUCACGAGUUUUGGGAAAAUAAAAAUGGCUGAAUUCCACGCCUGCGUCAAGGUGGAAGAAGGGGGUCGAGAAGUGCCAUGGAUGAUGACGUUUUCAUGAGGUCAAGUUUAAUAGAAGAAACCUGGUACCACAAGUGACAGUGACAAAGUACAUCCCAGGAUGCACAGGAAUUUUGGAGACGACCUCAAGCUCCCCAUGAAAUUUGGAAAGGUGUGAAAACAAUUGUAUUUAAAUCUUAAAGGCAGGAGGCAUCAGCUGACACCUGGGUUGCAUUGAUACAAUUAAAAAUAAAUACCUUGUCACUGCGCAGCUUUAUGUACUUCCCCCCACAUAGCAUAAGCAUUUUCAUGUUUUUGAAAAUAUAUUCUGUCUAAAUCUGAAUUCUUAAAAACUGUACUAUGAUUUAUAUCCUAUUCCCAUUCAAAGACAUAAAAUGAAAUUUUAUAGGCCUGCUACUUUGGAUGAUAAUGGAAGAUAUUUGUGCAGUUGUUAUAAAUUCAUUUGGGUAGGUUUGGACAAAUAUUUAAUUUUUAUUGUGUACCUAUAAAUAACUAAAUGCUGAAAUAGCCAAUGAGUUGUCCUCUUAAAUUUUAAGUAGUAAAAUUGCAUAAAAUGUGCCAAAACCUCAAAAUAAAUGUAAUGUGCUGAGUUUAAAUGAUGUAGACAAUUAAAACAGAUUCGUGUGGUUGUUUUCCGUCUUUAAAAUUGA